rnacentral:tRNA from 1 species
GCCGCCGUAGCUCAGCAGGAUAGAGCGGCCGCCUCCUAAGCGGCAGGCCGGAGGUUCGAAUCCUCUCGGCGGCGCCA